AAUGAACGUUGGCGGCGUGGAUUAGGCAUGCCAGUCGAGCGAGAACCCCGCAAGGGGGGACAGCGGCGAAAGGGACAGUAAUGUGUAGAUUAUCUGCCCUCAGGUCCGGGAUAGCUGCGGGAAACUGCAGGUAAUACCGGAUAACAUCUCCGGAUCAAAGGUGUGAUUCCGCCUGAGGAUGAGUCUGCAUCCUAUUAGCUAGUUGGUGGGGUAAUGGCCUACCAAGGCAUUGAUGGGUAGCAGGUGUGAGAGCACGACCUGCGUCAUUGGGACUGAGACACUGCCCAGACACCUACGGGUGGCUGCAGUCGAGAAUCUUCGGCAAUGGGCGCAAGCCUGACCGAGCGACGCCGCGUGUGGGAUGAAGGCCUUCGGGUUGUAAACCACUGUCAGAGGGGAUGAAAUGCAGGUGGGUUCUCCCAUCUGUUUGACAUAGCCUCAGAGGAAGGACGGGCUAAGUUCGUG
rnacentral:rRNA from 1 species